ACUAAGAAGAAGCAUGGUGGAAUUGCGAAGGGUUUUGAUCUCUUAGGCGUAGGUUCGAUUCCUACCUUUUUA
rnacentral:tRNA from 1 species